rnacentral:rRNA from 1 species
UUACCCCGCUGGAACUUAAGCAUAUCACUCACGCGGAGGAAAAGAAACCAACAGGGAUUGCCCCUAGUAACGGCGAGUGAAGCGGCAACAGCUCAAAUUUGAAAUCUGGCGCAAGCCCGAGUUGUAAUUUGUAGAGGAUGCUUCUGGGUAGCGACCGAUCUAAGUUCCUUGGAACAGGACGUCAUAGAGGGUGAGAAUCCCGUAUGUGACCGGCCCGCACCCUUUACGUAGCUCCUUCGACGAGUCGAGUUGUUUGGGAAUGCAGCUCUAAAUGGGAGGUAAAUUUCUUCUAAAGCUAAAUACCGGCCAGAGACCGAUAGCGCACAAGUAGAGUGAUCGAAAGAUGAAAAGUACUUUGGAAAGAGAGUUAAAAAGCACGUGAAAUUGUUGAAAGGGAAGCGCCUGCAACCAGACUUCGCGGCAGUGUUCCACCGGUCUUCUGACCGGUUCAUUCUCUGUCGCGAGGCCAUCAUCGUCUAGGCCCGUCGGAUAAGACCUUAGGAAUGUAGCUCACCUUCGGGGGAGUGUUAUAGCCUAUGGUGAUGCGGCGAGGCUUGGGCGAGGUCCGCGCUUCGGCAAGGAUGAUGGCGUAAUGGUUGUCGGCGGCCCGUCUUGAAACACGGACCAAGGAGUCUAACAUCUAUGCGAGUGUUCGGGUGUCAAACCCCUACGCGUAAUGAAAGUGAACGGAGGUGGGAACCGCAAGGUGCACCAUCGACCGAUCCUGAUGUCCUCGGAUGGAUUUGAGUAAGAGCAUAGCUGUUGGGACCCGAAAGAUGGUGAACUAUGCCUGAAUAGGGUGAAGCCAGAGGAAACUCUGGUGGAGGCUCGCAGCGGUUCUGACGUGCAAAUCGAUUCGUCAAAUUUGGGUAUAGGGGCGAAAGACUAAUCGAACCAUCUAGUAGCUGGUUCCUUGCCGAAGUUUCCCCUCAGGGAAA